ACGAACGCUGGCGGCGUGCCUAAUACAUGCAAGUAGAACGCUGAAGGAGGAGCUUGCUUCUCUGAAUGAGUUGCGAACGGGUGAGUAACGCGUAGGUAACCUGCCUGGUAGCGGGGGAUAACUAUUGGAAACGAUAGCUAAUACCGCAUAAGAGUAGAUGUUGCAUGACAUUUGCUUAAAAGGUGCAAUUGCAUCACUACCAGAUGGACCUGCGUUGUAUUAGCUAGUUGGUGGGGUAACGGCUCACCAAGGCGACGAUACAUAGCCGACCUGAGAGGGUGAUCGGCCACACUGGGACUGAGACACGGCCCAGACUCCUACGGGAGGCAGCAGUAGGGAAUCUUCGGCAAUGGACGGAAGUCUGACCGAGCAACGCCGCGUGAGUGAAGAAGGUUUUCGGAUCGUAAAGCUCUGUUGUAAGAGAAGAACGAGUGUGAGAGUGGAAAGUUCACACUGUGACGGUAUCUUACCAGAAAGGGACGGCUAACUACGUG
rnacentral:rRNA from 1 species